UUCUUUGGAGGCCUUCACAUCUUCCUUGGCUUGGGCCAACUCUUUCUGAAGUCCUUCAUUGGUAUGCCUUCACGUUGGGUCCUUUCCCGAGCCAAGACAGACUUCAGGAUGGAGUUCUCCUUCCUCAGCGCCUCCUCUUCGGAUUCAGCCUCGAGAGAUCUUGGACGUAGACGCCCGAAUACAGCAUUUGCCUGUGCAUGUUCAGUUUUAUUUAAUCAAUUUUCAGAUAUAUGAAUACGAAGAUAAGUAUGGAAAGCAGAGGGAGGGGAGAGCCAUUUACCUUCGCCAAGUAGCUCAUGCCUUCGCUAAGUAAGUCCCCAUUCGUACUGUUCCCGAAUCGGUGGUCAUCGGUCUCGCGAACGAAGGCCUCGAACAAUUGAAAAGGAAAGUUGGCGUUGAAUCGGGGCCACAUAGUUGGCGAGCCCAUGACAUCCUGCUGAAAUUCGGUAGUCGUGUGUCUUGGAGGAUAAGGCACAGGUUGACUGCGAACCGGCGAGGGAUCCGCAUGUACCGCCUUUGGGGAAGGAGAUCGAGCAGGUAUAGGCUCAGAAGUUGAAUAAGGGGCAGAGGUUGAACCUGGCUGGCUGUCCGAAGGUUGUUUUCUUUUUCGGGACAGUGAGGGAUCGGCGUCGACCAGCUCAGCAUCAGGUGUUUGGGUUUUAAUUGGGGGGUCAAUUGUUGAAGUUGGAGGGACGCGGAGUUCUUCGGUGGUGAGGAGAAUUAUUUUUUAUCUUAAUUUUUUGGCACGAAGGACUUUCGCCUGAUCGUGUAGAGGUAUGUCAAGUAGACUCCUCUUUAUUGGGGCUGGUUCAGAAGGUGUGGUAACAGGGUCAGUUGGAGGAGUUGAUUGUGGGUUUGCUUCGGGAAGAACCUCCUCGUCGCUUUCAGGAUCUAUCUUGCGAGGGAUAGUUCUGGCCUUUUUAGCAGCCUUCUUCCUUCGGCGAGGUCGGAGGACUUCUUCAGGAAUGAAAGGCUCGUCGGCUUCAGG
rnacentral:lncRNA from 1 species